GGUGUCCACGGCUCUGAUCGAGAAAAACAGGGAGAAAUAGAGAGGAAGGGGGCCGAUGUUGGGUUUCUAGGGAAAGGGGGGGUCUUCUUAUAGAGGGCCCUAGGAGUUUGAGAGGUCCUAGGACUCCUAAUUUGCCCGGAUCUCACCGGAGAAGAAGACUCCUAUCGGGAGUCUUCUUCUCGAUUUUUCUUCUGUUUUUUUUUUUUUGGGCUUGGGUCUUGCUGGAUUGGGCU
rnacentral:lncRNA from 1 species